rnacentral:lncRNA from 1 species
AAUUUCAAUACAACAACAACAACAACAAAGCCUUUUCCCACUAAGUGGGGUCGGCUAUAUGAAUCCUAGAACGCCAUUGCGCUCGGUUUUGUGUCAUGUCCUCCGUUAGAUCCAAGUACUCAAGUCUUUUCUUAGGGUCUCUUUCAAAGUUUUCCUAGGUCUUCCUCUACCCCUUCGGCCCUGAACCUCUGUCCCGUAGUCACAUUUUCGAACCGGAGCGUCAGUAGGCCUUCUUUGCACAUGUCCAAACCACCGGAACCGAUUUUCUCUCAUAUUUCCUUCAAUUUUGGCUACUCCUACUUUACCUCGGAUAUCCUCAUUCCCAAUCUUAUCCUUUCUCGUGUGCCCAUACAUCCCACGAAGCAUCCUCAUCUCAGCUACACCCAUUUUGUGUACGUGUUGAUGCUUCACCGCCCA